rnacentral:rRNA from 1 species
CCCGGGGUGUAACCUGCGUAUCCCCCCCACCGGUCCACACAGACGGGGUGGGUGGGCACCUCGAUGGCCGCUCAUCAAGUCCGGGUGCUGUGGUAGGCCCCAAGGGGUGGCCUGUUCGCCAAUUAAAGUGGUAUGCGAGCUGGGUUUAGAACGUCGUAUGACGGUGCGGUCCCUAUCCGUCGCCGGCGUAGGAAAUUUGAGCAGACCUGUCCUUAGUACGAGAGGACCGGGAUGGACGUACCUCUGGUGUACCAGUUGUCCUGCCAAGGGCAUGGCUGGGUAGCUAUGUACGGAAUGGAUAAGCGCUGAAAGCAUCUAAGCGCGAAGCC